rnacentral:rRNA from 1 species
UACGUAGGGGGCAAGCGUUGUCCGGAUUUAUUGGGCGUAAAGAGCGUGUAGGCGGUUAUGCAGGUCCGCUGUGAAAACUGGAGGCUUAACCUCCAGACGUCGGUGGAAACCGUAUGACUAGAGUCCGGAAGAGGAGAGUGGAAUUCCUGGCGUAGCGGUGAAAUGCGCAGAUAUCAGGAAGAACACCCGUGGCGAAGGCGGCUCUCUGGGACGGUACUGACGCUGAGACGCGAAAGCGUGGGGAGCGAACAGG